rnacentral:tRNA from 1 species
GCCCUGGUAGUGCAACGGUUAAGCACUCAGCUGUUAACUGAAAGGUUGGCGGUUCGAACCCACCCGGUGGCU